rnacentral:rRNA from 1 species
AUUGAACGCUGGCGGCAUGCUUUACACAUGCAAGUCGAACGGUAACAGGCCUUCGGGUGCUGCCGAGUGGCGAACGGGUGAGUAAUGCAUCGGAACGUGCCCAGAGGUGGGGGAUAACGCAGCGAAAGCUGUGCUAAUACCGCAUGUGAUCUGAGGCUGAAAGCGGGGGACCAGGCAGCAAUGUUUGGCCUCGCGCCUUUGGAGCGGCCGAUGUCAGAUUAGGUAGUUGGGGGGGUAAAGGCCUACCAAGCCGACGAUCUGUAGCUGGUCUGAGAGGACGACCAGCCACACGGGGACUGAGACACGGCCCAGACUCCUACGGGAGGCAGCAGUGGGGAAUUUUGGACAAUGGGCGCAAGCCUGAUCCAGCAAUGCCGCGUGCGGGAAGAAGGCCUUCGGGUUGUAAACCGCUUUUGUACGGAACGAAAAGGCUCUGGCUAAUACCUGGGGCUGAUGACGGUACCGUAAGAAUAAGCACCGGCUAACUACGUG